CGCGUAGGCGGUUAUAUAAGUCGGAUGUGAAAGCCCUGGGCUCAACCUGGGAACUGCAUUCGAUACUGUAUAACUAGAGUUUGGUAGAGGGAAGUGGAAUUCCACAUGUAGCGGUGAAAUGCGUAGAUAUGUGGAGGAACACCAGUGGCGAAGGCGACUUCCUGGACCAAAACUGACGCUGAGGUGCGAAAGCGUGGGUAGCAAACA
rnacentral:rRNA from 1 species